rnacentral:rRNA from 1 species
AUUGAACGCUGGCGGCAUGCCUUACACAUGCAAGUCGAACGGCAGCACGGGAGCAAUCCUGGUGGCGAGUGGCGAACGGGUGAGUAAAGUAUCGGAACGUGCCCAGUCGUGGGGGAUAACGUAGCGAAAGUUACGCUAAUACCGCAUACGAUCUAUGGAUGAAAGCGGGGGAUCGCAAGACCUCGCGCGAUUGGAGCGGCCGAUAUCAGAUUAGGUAGUUGGUGGGGUAAAGGCUCACCAAGCCGACGAUCUGUAGCUGGUCUGAGAGGACGAGCCGCCACACUGGGACUGAGACACGGCCCAGACUCCGACGGGAGGCAGAAGUGGGGAAUUUUGGACAAUGGGCGAAAGCCUGAUCCAGCCAUGCCGCGUGCAGGAUGAAGGCCUUCGGGUUGUAAACUGCUUUUGUACGGAACGAAAAGGUUUGGCCUAAUAAGCUGAGCUCAUGACGGUACCGUAAGAAUAAGCACCGGCUAACUACGUGCCAGCCGCCGCAGUAA